rnacentral:rRNA from 1 species
UGGCGGACGGGUGAGUAACGCGUGGAAAACCUGCCGUAUACUGGGGGAUAACACUUAGAAAUAGGUGCUAAUACCGCAUAAGCGCACAGCUUCGCAUGAAGCGGUGUGAAAAACUCUGGUGGUAUACGAUGGUUCCGCGUCUGAUUAGCUAGUUGGUGGGGUAAUGGCCUACCAAGGCAACGAUCAGUAGCCGGCCUGAGAGGGUGAACGGCCACAUUGGGACUGAGACGCGGCCCAAACUCCUACGGGAGGCAGCAG